GACGAACGCUGGCGGCGUGCUUAACACAUGCAAGUCGAACGGAAAGGUCCUGCUUUUGUGGGGUGCUCGAGUGGCGAACGGGUGAGUAACACGUGAGUAACCUGCCCUUGACUUUGGGAUAACUUCAGGAAACUGGGGCUAAUACCGGAUAGGAGCUCCUGCUGCAUGGUGGGGGUUGGAAAGUUUCGGCGGUUGGGGAUGGACUCGCGGCUUAUCAGCUUGUUGGCGGGGUAGUGGCUUACCAAGGCUUUGACGGGUAGCCGGCCUGAGAGGGUGACCGGCCACAUUGGGACUGAGAUACGGCCCAGACUCCUACGGGAGGCAGCAGUGGGGAAUAUUGCACAAUGGGCGGAAGCCUGAUGCAGCAACGCCGCGUGCGGGAUGACGGCCUUCGGGUUGUAAACCGCUUUCGCCUGUGACGAAGCGUGAGUGACGGUAAUGGGUAAAGAAGCACCGGCUAACUACGUG
rnacentral:rRNA from 1 species